rnacentral:rRNA from 1 species
AGUGAACGCUGGCGGUAGGCCUAACACAUGCAAGUCGAACGGCAGCACAGUAAGAGCUUGCUCUUACGGGUGGCGACUGGCGGACGGGUGAGGAAUACAUCGGAAUCUACUUUUUCGUGGGGGAUAACGUAGGGAAACUUACGCUAAUACCGCAUACGACCUACGGGUGAAAGCAGGGGAUCUUCGGACCUUGCGCGAUUGUAUGAGCCGAUGUCGGAUUAGCUAGUUGGCGGGGUAAAGGCCCACCAAGGCGACGAUCCGUAGCUGGUCUGAGAGGAUGAUCAGCCACACUGGAACUGAGACACGGUCCAGACUCCUACGGGAGGCAGCAGUGGGGAAUAUUGGACAAUGGGCGCAAGCCUGAUCCAGCCAUACCGCGUGGGUGAAGAAGGCCUUCGGGUUGUAAAGCCCUUUUGUUGGGAAAGAAAAGCAGCAGGUUAAUACCCCGCUGUUCUGACGGUACCCAAAGAAUAAGCACCGGCUAACUUCGUG